AGAGUUUGAUCAUGGCUCAGAACGAACGCUGGCGGCGUGCCUAACACAUGCAAGUCGAACGGAUGUAGCAAUACAUUAGCGGCGCACGGGUGAGUAAUGCAUGAGAGAUCUGCCCUACGGAGACGGAUAGCUACGGGAAGCUGUAGAUAAUACGUCGUAAGCAGUAUUGUAGAGAGACAGUACUGGAAAGGCUGGGACCGCAAGGCCAGUCGCCGAAGGAUGAGCCCAUGUCCCAUUAGCUAGUUGGUAGGGUAAAGGCCUACCAAGGCUCAGAUGGGUAGCUGGUCUGAGAGGAUGAUCAGCCACACUGGAACUGAGACACGGUCCAGACUCCUACGGGAGGCAGCAGUGGGGAAUAUUGCGCAAUGGACGAAAGUCUGACGCAGCAACGCCGCGUGAGUGAAGAAGGCCUUUGGGUUGUAAAGCUCUUUCGGCCGGGAAGAAGGGUUGGGGUGUUAAUAGUAUCUCAAUUUGAUGGUACCGGAAGAAGAAGCACCGGCUAACUUCGUGCCAGCAGCCGCGGUAAUACGAAGGGUGCAAGCGUUGUUCGGAAUUACUGGGCGUAAAGGGUUUGUAGGCUGGAAUAUAAGUCAAGUGUGAAAUCCCCGAGCUUAACUUGGGACGUGCAUUUGAAACUGUGUUUCUUGAGUAUUGGAGAGGGUGGUGGAAUUGUUGGUGUAGGAGUGACAUCCGUAGAGAUCAGCAGGAACAUCAGAGGCGAAGGCGACCACCUGGCCAAUUACUGACGCUG
rnacentral:rRNA from 1 species